rnacentral:rRNA from 1 species
GGCAGAGGUUACUGCUAUCGAGGUUCGACUAAGCCAUGCGAGUCGAAUGUAGCAAUACAUGGCGAACUGCUCAGUAACACGUGGACAACCUGCCCUUAGGUUGGGUAUAAACCCGGGAAACUGGGUAUAAUACCCGAUAGGUCUCGAUUGCUGGAAUGCAUCGAGAUUUAAAGCUCCGGCGCCUAAGGAUGGGUCUGCGGCCUAUCAGGUAGUAGUGGGUGUAGCGUACCUACUAGCCUACGACGGGUACGGGUUGUGAGAGCAAGAGCCCGGAGAUGGAUUCUGAGACACGAAUCCAGGCCCUACGGGGUGCAGCAGGCGCGAAAACUUUACAAUGCUGGCAACAGCGAUAAGGGAACCUCGAGUGCCAGGUUACAAAUCUGGCUGUCGAGAUGCCUAAAAAGCAUUUCAUAGCAAGGGCCGGGCAAGACCGGUGCCAGCCGCCGCGGUAACACCGGCGGCUCGAGUGGUAACCGUUAUUAUUGGGUCUAAAGGGUCUGUAGCCGGCCGGAUAAGUCUCUUGAGAAAUCUGGCAGCUUAACUGUCAGGCUUUCAGGAGAUACUGUCUGGCUCGAGGCCGGGAGAGGUGAGAGGUACUUCAGGGGUAGGGGUGAAAUCUUGUAAUCCUUGAAGGACCACCAGUGGCGAAGGCGUCUCACCAGAACGGACCUGACGGCAAGGGACGAAAGCUAGGGGCACGAACCGGAUUAGAUACCCGGGUAG